rnacentral:rRNA from 1 species
GUAGGGAAUAUUGCGCAAUGGGGGAAACCCUGACGCAGCGACGCCGCGUGAGUGAUGAAGGCCUUCGGGUCGUAAAGCUCUGUUGCAGGGGAAUAAAAAAAUGAAGGUACCCUGUGAGGAAGGAUCGGCUAACUUCGUGCCAGCAGCCGCGGUAAGACGAGGGAUCCUAGCGUUGCUCGGAAUCAUUGGGCGUAAAGAGGGCGUAGGUGGCUUGGUAAGUCAGGUGUGAAAGCCCAGGGCUCAACCCUGGAAGUGCAUUUGAUACUGCUGAGCUUGAGUGUCGGAGAGGUUACCGGAAUACCUGGUGUAGUGGUGAAAUACGUAGAUAUCAGGUGGAACACCGGAGGCGAAGGCGGGUAACUGGACGAACACUGACACUGAGGCCCGAAAGCGUGGGGAUCAAACAGGAUUAGAUACCCCGGUAGUCC